rnacentral:rRNA from 1 species
CCUACGGGAGGCAGCAGUGGGGAAUAUUGGACAAUGGGGGGAACCCUGAUCCAGCCAUGCCGCGUGUGUGAAGAAGGCCCUCGGGUUGUAAAGCACUUUCAGUGAGGAAGAACGCCUGGUGGUUAAUACCCUUCAGGAAAGACAUCACUCACAGAAGAAGCACCGGCUAACUCCGUGCCAGCAGCCGCGGUAAUACGGAGGGUGCGAGCGUUAAUCGGAAUUACUGGGCGUAAAGCGCGCGUAGGUGGCUUGAUAAGCCGGUUGUGAAAGCCCCGGGCUCAACCUGGGAACGGCAUCCGGAACUGUCAAGCUAGAGUGCAGGAGAGGAAGGUAGAAUUCCCGGUGUAGCGGUGAAAUGCGUAGAGAUCGGGAGGAAUACCAGUGGCGAAGGCGGCCUUCUGGACUGACACUGACACUGAGGUGCGAAAGCGUGGGUAGCAAACAGGAUUAGAUACCCUGGUAGUC